rnacentral:tRNA from 1 species
GGCCCCUUGGCGGAAUUGGUAGACGCAUGGGACUUAAAAUCCUUGGCCCGUGUCGGGCGUCCGGGUUCGAGUCCCGGAGGGGCUACCA